UUUGGUGUCCAUGCCACUGGUGAAACACCUGUUCUCAUUCCGAACACAGAAGUUAAGACCAGUAGGGGCGAUUAUACUGACGAUAUUGUUGGGAAACUAGCAAGAUGCCAAAU
rnacentral:rRNA from 1 species